GAGGAGAGUGGCGAACGGGUGAGUAACACGUGGAUAAUCUGCCUUCAGGAUUGGGAUAACUGUGGGAAACUACAGCUAAUACCGGAUAAGAUGGUAGCUUCACAAGAAGUAGUCAUUAAAGGUGGGGACCUUCGGGCCUACCGCCUGAAGAUGAGUCCGCGGCCCAUUAGCUUGUUGGUAGGGUAACGGCCUACCAAGGCUGCGAUGGGUAGCCGGCCUGAGAGGGUGAUCGGUCACAUUGGGACUGAGAUACGGCCCAGACUUCUACGGAAGGCAGCAGUUAAGAAUCUUGCGCAAUGGGCGAAAGCCUGACGCAGCGACGCCGCGUGGACGAUGAAGGCCUUCGGGUUGUAAAGUCCGGUAAGCAGGGAAGAAUAAGUUUCGUUGAAUAAGCGGAACGAUGACGGUACCUGCCUAAAGCCCCGGCUAACUACGUGCCAGCAGCCGCGGUAAUACGUAUGGGGCGAGCGUUGUUCGGAAUUAUUGGGCAUAAAGGGCGUCUAGGCGGGGAAUUAAGUUAGGUGUGAAAGCCAUGGGCUCAACCCGUUGAAUUGCAUCUAAAACUGAUUCUCUUGGAGUACGGGAGAGGAGAGCGGAAUUCCUGGUGUAGCGGUGAAAUGCGUAGAUUAUCAGGAAGAACACCAGUGCCGAAGCCGGGCUCUCUGCCCUAGAACUGACGCUGAAGCCGCGAAAGCGUUGGGGAGCGAACGGGGAUUAGAUACCCCCGGUAGUUCCAGGCCCGUAAACGUUUGUGUACUAGGUGUUAGUGCUUUAAGCACUAGUGCCGACGCUUAACGCAUUAAGUACACCGCCUGGGGAGUACGCCCGCAAGGGUUAAACCCAAAGAAAUUGACGGGGGCCCGCACAAGCGGUGGAGCAUGUGGUUUAAUUCGAUGAUACGCGAAGAACCUUACCAGGGCUUGAACUGUUUCUGACAGGUGUAGAGAUACACCCUCCUUCGGGCAGAUUCAGAGGUGCUGCAUGGUUGUCGUCAGCUCGUGUCGUGAGAUGUUGGGUUAAGUCCCGCAACGAGCGCAACCCUUACUCCUUGUUGCUAUCAGGUCAUGCUGGGCACUCUAGGGGAACUGCCGGUGAUAAACCGGAGGAAGGUGGGGAUGACGUCAAAUCAGCACGGCCCUUAUGUCCUGGGCUACACACGUGCUACAAUGGCCGGUACAAUGAGUUGCGAUGCCGCGAGGUGGAGCUAAUCUCAAAAAACCGGUCUCAGUUCGGAUUGCAGUCUG
rnacentral:rRNA from 1 species